rnacentral:rRNA from 1 species
UACGUAGGGUCCGAGCGUUGUCCGGAAUUAUUGGGCUUAAAGGGCUCGUAGGCGGUUCGUCGCGUCGGGAGUGAAAACUCGGAGCUCAACUCCGAGCCUGCUUCCGAUACGGGCAGACUAGAGGUAGGCAGGGGAGAGCGGAACUCCUGGUGUAGCGGUGAAAUGCGUAGAUAUCUGGAGGAACACCGGUGGCGAAAGCGGCUCACUGGACCUGAUCUGACACUGAGGUGCGAAAGCUAGGGUAGCAAACGGG